GAAACGCGAUAGGUAAUGUGAAUUGCAGAAUUCCGUGAAUCAUCGAAUCUUUGAACGCACAUUGCGCCUUCUGGUAUUCCGGUAGGCAUGUCUGUCUGAGCGUCAGCAAACACCCCUCAGCUGAGUUUUCUUUUGAAGGCUCACGCUGGUCUUGGGCGUCUGGAUGCUGGGGGCGUUAAAACCCCCCGCGCCUGCCCUAAACUUGCUGCACGACCGCUGGCUUCGGCUGGGUCAAUGGAGUGGUGUUACAAUCUUCCAGAAGACCUUCUAGAGCUCGGUGGCGUUAAACCUGCUGUUGUCCCCCGUGGGCGACCGACGUUUUGACCUCAGAUCAGAUAAGGAUACCCGCUGAACUUAA
rnacentral:misc_RNA from 1 species